AGCAGUCCAGAGCUAGAACUAGAGAAGUUUACCUCAGAAACUGAGCAAUUCGAGCCAUGAUUGCCCCGGCCCCUGGCUGAAGCACAUUUCCUGUGGACAACAAACCUUUAUUCAGUGGCAGACCACAUGCUGAGAACCAAGGUGACACCCAGGACUUCACGGAAAGAAUGCAACACUUGCCAAAUAACAGAACUUGUCCAGUGAGGAAAUGGCUUUCUGAAACCA